ACAAAAAUUUUAAUUGGAAUUUAGAUGAUUUUGAAUGUGUUAAUUUUAACAGUAGACCAGUUGGAUUCUUAUGCGAAGUAAGAGAAUAAAUUAUGGACUACAUAAACUUCAUAUUUUAUGCCAAUUAAAAAAAAACAAAGCAAGCAUUGGAAACAUUUUAAAGUCAAUUUAAAAAAAGCCAUAAAUAAAAGUAAAAAAAAACAAAAAAAAUUCUUUAAAAAAUAAGAUUAUUUUGUAAGUGUGGGUUUUUAUAUGCUAUUUGUUUACUCAUAGAUUUGAUGUACAACCUAGCUCUGUGUUUACUAUGAAUAUUUUAUGUAAUUCGCCUCAAAAUACUUUAAACAUGACUACACAGAGAGUUUUGUGUUAUCAAACAAACUCAGAUACGUCUUCGUAGAAUUUCCCAGAGGAGCAAGAAUAUUCAAUCCAUUGUCUAAUUUUGAUUGUUUUAAAGUAUUGAAAAGAAUCAAAUGGCGCUAUUGUUUACUUAACCGCAAACAGGAUAAAAC